CCUAUACAUGCAAGUCGAACGAACUCUGGUAUUGAUUGGUGCUUGCAUCAUGAUUUACAUUUGAGUGAGUGGCGAACUGGUGAGUAACACGUGGGAAACCUGCCCAGAAGCGGGGGAUAACACCUGGAAACAGAUGCUAAUACCGCAUAACAACUUGGACCGCAUGGUCCGAGUUUGAAAGAUGGCUUCGGCUAUCACUUUUGGAUGGUCCCGCGGCGUAUUAGCUAGAUGGUGGGGUAACGGCUCACCAUGGCAAUGAUACGUAGCCGACCUGAGAGGGUAAUCGGCCACAUUGGGACUGAGACACGGCCCAAACUCCUACGGGAGGCAGCAGUAGGGAAUCUUCCACAAUGGACGAAAGUCUGAUGGAGCAACGCCGCGUGAGUGAAGAAGGGUUUCGGCUCGUAAAACUCUGUUGUUAAAGAAGAACAUAUCUGAGAGUAACUGUUCAGGUAUUGACGGUAUUUAACCAGAAAGCCACGGCUAACUACGUGCCAGCAGCCGCGGUAAUACGUAGGUGGCAAGCGUUGUCCGGAUUUAUUGGGCGUAAAGCGAGCGCAGGCGGUUUUUUAAGUCUGAUGUGAAAGCCUUCGGCUCAACCGAAGAAGUGCAUCGGAAACUGGGAAACUUGAGUGCAGAAGAGGACAGUGGAACUCCAUGUGUAGCGGUGAAAUGCGUAGAUAUAUGGAAGAACACCAGUGGCGAAGGCGGCUGUCUGGUCUGUAACUGACGCUGAGGCUCGAAAGUAUGGGUAGCAAACAGGAUUAGAUACCCUGGUAGUCCAUACCGUAAACGAUGAAUGCUAAGUGUUGGAGGGUUUCCGCCCUUCAGUGCUGCAGCUAACGCAUUAAGCAUUCCGCCUGGGGAGUACGGCCGCAAGGCUGAAACUCAAAGGAAUUGACGGGGGCCCGCACAAGCGGUGGAGCAUGUGGUUUAAUUCGAAGCUACGCGAAGAACCUUACCAGGUCUUGACAUACUAUGCAAAUCUAAGAGAUUAGACGUUCCCUUCGGGGACAUGGGAUACAGGUGGUGCAUGGUGUCGUCAGCUCGUGUCGUGAGAUGUUGGGGUAGUCCCGCACGAGCGCACCCUUAUUAUCAGUGCCAGCAUAGUUGGGCACUCUGGGUGGAGACUGGCCGGGUG
rnacentral:rRNA from 1 species